AGUUCCACGCUGUACCCUGAGCUCUGCAUCUCCGCCGUGGCCACGUCCGGCGGCGUCAAACUGACGUCGCAGAAAGACGUCAUUGAGGCAUCGCUUAACCUAACAACAAUCGCCGUGGAACACAAUUACUUCACCGUGAAGAAACUGAUCAAGAACAGGAAAGGACUUACUCCACGUGAGAAGACGGCGCUUCAUGACUGUUUGGAGACUAUUGAUGAGACGCUUGAUGAGCUUCAUGAGACACUGGAAGAUCUCCAAAUGUACCCUAACAAAAAAACUCUAAGGGAACACGCUGGUGAUCUCAAAACCCUAAUAAGCUCUGCCAUUACCAAUCAGGAGACUUGUCUCGACGGAUUCUCUCAUGAUGAUGCUGACAAGAAAGUCCGUAAGGUCUUGUUGAAGGGUCAGGUACGUAAAAACAUUAGUUCUUUAGCCAUUACGGCUCUCAUAUAUAGAAUUGGAGAACAACUGAAAAAAAAUAUAAAAUGUGAAAUGUAUAACAUAAGAGUAUGGAAAAAUGAAUUAAUUUAAAAUUUGCAAAUGUCGACUUAUAAAAUGCAUUUUUUUGGUUCACUAAAUUUGUGGAAUCUGAAUUGACUCAACAUAACAUCACUAUUUUGUUAUUUCAUCGUGGGGUUACGAAUUGAUGUUUUUGUUUUGUUGGAAUGCAUGCGAUGAAAAAAAAUUAUAGAUAGGGUUACAAGAAAACUAAAUAAAUCUUACAUCACAUCACAUUACUUUGACAAUUCUCUGUUUUUUGGAAUUUAUUUUCUUAUAAUGAAAUGUUGUUAGCUAGUGUUGGUAGAAAUAGUUGCUAUCAGUUGUUAUUGGAGUGUAUUUAAUUCUGUAAAUUUGUGAUAACAUGAUUGUUCUUAAAUACAGUUUAAAACGAGAUAAGUAAUGUGUAGGUACACGUCGAGCACAUGUGCAGCAACGCACUAGCAAUGAUCAAGAACAUGACUGAUACCGACAUAGCCAAUUUCGAGCUAAAAGCUAAAUCCUUCUCAAACAACCGUAAACUCAAGGAGGAGGAAACAACGGUGUCCGUAGAUAUUGCCGGCGCCGGAGAAGUAGAUGCAGAGGGGUGGCCUACUUGGUUAUCCGCGGGAGAUAGGAGGCUUCUUCAAGGGUCUUCAGUGAGAGCUGAUGCUACUGUGGCUGCUAACGGUAGCGGUAAAUUCAAGACUAUUGCGGCUGCGGUUGCAGCUGCCCCGGAUAAUAGUAAGAGGAGGUAUGUGAUACAUAUAAAAGCUGGUGUUUAUAGAGAGAAUGUGGAAGUGUCGAAGAAGAAAAAGAAUAUAAUGUUUAUGGGAGAUGGUCGGACAAGAACUAUUAUUACUGGAAAUAGAAACGUCGUCGACGGUAGCACCACCUUUCAUUCUGCCACCGUUGGUAAGCAACUUUAUUUAUUUCUUUUUAUUUUUGAAAUAAUAUUUAAAGUAAUUUUGCACGAUGUGGCCCUUCUUUGUGGUGGAAAACCUUUACUCUUUUCAAGUACAUUAAUUAUUCACAUGUAGAUUCUUAGUCGCAGUAGCCACUACAACAUUUGAUUCGCACAUGUAGCCUAGUAACGAGAUAAAAUUAAAUUUGAACUUGAAUUGCCAUAAAUGAACAAAACGCUUUGUAAGAUAUGAGUCAUGUACGAGUCUUGAUCCAUCAUUUUCUUGGCUUUAUUCUUAUGCUUUUCUAGGUCACUUGUCCUGGAUUGGGUUAAUGGCUCAUCCACUCGUGAGAAGAGCCUUUAACCUUUUGUUUUUUUUGCUUGUUUCAUUGUUGUUGACUUUUCUAUCCGAUCUUGUCCCUUAUUUACAUUUGUUACAUAAUUUCAUUAGAUUACACCUUAGUUAUCCUCACUUUUUUUACUAUACUUUUUCAAUUAUUAUCAUCACAUUUCAAGCUGCAUUUAACUUCUUUUCCGCUUUUUAAAAUAUUUUAUAAGGAGAUAAAAUACAAAUCCUUUAAACUAAAGUGAUAUUCCAGCUAAACAAGUCUUAUGUUAUUGUUAUUAGUCCUUUUAGCUAAUGAUUCCGCUAAACUGAUUGAUAUUUUUUUGUGGGGUCUAGCUGCUGUCGGCGAAAGGUUUCUAGCGCGUGACAUCACUUUCCAGAACACAGCAGGUCCGUCUAAGCACCAAGCGGUGGCUCUCCGUGUCGGUUCUGACUUCUCUGCUUUUUACCAAUGCGAUAUGUUAGCUUACCAAGACACUCUCUACGUCCACUCUAACCGUCAGUACUUCGUCAAGUGCCUCAUCGCCGGAACGGUCGACUUCAUCUUUGGAAACGCCGCCGUCGUUCUCCAAGACUGCGACAUCCACGCUCGUCGACCAAACUCCGGCCAGAAAAACAUGGUCACGGCCCAAGGAAGGACUGAUCCUAACCAAAACACAGGGAUCGUUAUCCAAAGAUGUAGGAUCGGUGCCACGUCGGAUUUGCAGCCCGUAAAAGGUAGUUUCCCGACGUAUCUUGGUCGUCCGUGGAAAGAGUAUUCACAAACAGUGAUCAUGCAGUCGGAUAUCUCGGACGUGAUCCGACCCGAAGGGUGGUCCGAGUGGACUGGGACUUUUGCGUUGAACACUUUGACUUAUAGAGAGUAUGCGAAUAAAGGAGCAGGGGCUGGAACUGCAAGGAGAGUGAAGUGGAGGGGCUUUAAGGUAAUCACUGCUGCUUCUGAAGCUCAGAGAUAUACUGCUGGUCAGUUUAUUGGUGGUGGAGGCUGGUUAGGUUCAACCGGUUUUCCUUUCUCUCUCGGUCUUUGAGAUAUUAUUGUUGUGAAGUGUUGUAACCUACAUAUUGUUGGUCGAAUAAUUAUAAAUUUUAUCAAUAAAUAAAAUGUGUAUGUGCUGUGUAUUUUCAUAUCUUUUCUAGAUCCUAGUAUUGGAGAUUAGUUGAGAUUGAUCACCAAUUGAUUCUUAUACGAAUUAUUGAGUUUAAAAAUUAUUUUAGCUUUCUGAAUUUUUCGAACCCGUCCAUUAUCUGAAUUUCCCACUGUAUUUUUUUUGUCAAGAACAUGUUUAUUUUAGGUCAAGAACAUAAUUUUGAAUCAAGAACAUGUUGGGUAGUGUUUUUAAUAUCUGGAUUAUCAAUUCAUGUUUCUUUCAUGUGGUUAUAGUUUUAAUUCACGAAACAUAUAUCCCUAAUAUAUUUUAAGUUUAUUAAAAAAAAUUAAAACGAACGUUGUAAAAUGAAAUCACAAAUCUACUAAUAAUAGCAAUCUCAAUUAAUUUUAAAGGUUGUGUGCUUUUAUAAAAAAUUCAAUUUUUGUUAAUAGUUGUGUUUGUUCACUUAGGUGUCUUUUGAUUAAAGGUUGUAUCUCUUCAAUAUAAAACUACUGUAAAACUUUAUGAAUAAAUGUGAGAGUUAUUACUGCACAAAAGGAGACAAACACCACACCAAUGUUGGUCGAAUAAAUGAGUUCCCAAGUACGUUAGGAUACGCUUUAUGUAUUAAGAGUCGUAAUCUGUUAUUAAGUUAAUUAUUCAUUUAGAGUCAUGAGAAAGAAGAGACACAAUACUUACGGAAGAGACACAACUCUUAAGGAAGAGACACAACUCUUUGUCUAGUAUAUUACAAUGAUAAACUAAAUAUUUAUAUAUCAUUGAAUUGAUUUUUUAUUCACAAUUUGUUUCCUUACAUCAUCACUAUUUGCAGUCAGCUUAAAAUGAGUUCUUAUAAUACUACAACUUAGUUCGCAAAUACAUACAGUACUCAAGCAUGUAACGCCAACCGGAUCAUAUGAUUUUCUUUUUCUCAACUUCGAAUUUCAUUCAACGACAACGAGAGUUUUUUUAUCUCAUAAGAAAUUCAACCACAAAACAAAAAAGAAAUCUAGUAUCACUGAGGAUCAUGUACGCUACCCAUCAAUCUUCACUGUCCUCUUACAACCACUAAGUGAACGAUUCACUCUAUGACACAGAAUGAACCGUUUCUUAAACCAUCCAAUUCAACUACAAAAUAAUCAUUAAUCCGAGAGAAAACAAAGCUAAAUCAGGAUUACCAAUUUCUAUCCGAUAUUAUUGGUGGCAGUUUGAUUGGAGUGGUAUUCAUGUACCAACAACUUGCACACCAAAGGCACAUAUUCAGAGUCGACUACUAACCACUGGAAAGCAAUGUCUCGAUUCUUGGCCCGCAAAGCAAAACCGAAAGUCCAUAACGAAAAAAUGGGCUUUGACGAUAGCAACAUACCGGUUCAGCAAAUCUUUCAAGCUUCCAGAGGUGUCAUCACGCCGGACAAACCAAUUUGAUACAAUAUGAUUUGCAUCUCGUCUCGAAACUAUUCAGUUUUAGUUUUGAAUAUUUUCCAAAUAAGAUAUUUUAGUUAAUUUAGUGGUGAAUAUAAAUAUUCAUGGAAGACUACAUGCAUAUAAGAGCUUCUUUAUUGGUAGUAUAUAGACUGAUAUCUAAUCGAUAAAGAAAAUAAAAUUAAAUAAAAAAUAAGAGAAUGAAACACCAAAAGUUAUGAGCAAGAGCUAAUUUUUUUCUGUAGACAGAGAAGUAGAGAGACAAAGUAGAUCUAGUUGGUCCCGGCGUACGGCAGGCGCGUGCGCGAGCGUGUUGUCGUCGGGACCGGAGUCCGUCCUUUUAAAAGCUUCCUAGUGUCUCUUCUCCGUAUCCUCUCCACUUUUGCCUUGUCUGAACUGUGACUCCGGCCUAUUCCAUGAUGCAUGGCGGUUUGUUGUUUGGAGUGAAGACGCGAUCGUGGAGAAGGUCUUAUGCGGUGGAGAGGUACCUCGUUUAGAUCAAGGUUAGACUACGGGAGGGGGAGGCUUUUACAGCUCUGUCGUCGCCGGUAUUCUCCGGGAGGUGGAGACUCAUUUUGCUCCGCCGCUGCCGGUUCAGUGUUUCGAGAGGGGGAGGCUUACCUAACUCUGCCGUCGUCGUAUAGUCUCCGGAGAGUGGAGGCUAACACAGCUCUACGCUGCCGGCUUGAAACCCGUAGGAAUUUUGGGUGUUAGCGGUUUAAGGUUGGUUUGGUUUUUGUUCUUGUCGGCCGAGUUGAUUUUAUACAGAUCGGAAGAGAUCUCUGAAGAAGAUUGAGCUUUUUGUGGAUGUUAUCACCGACAAGAAAAGAUAGUUCAGGUCGUGGGUGGUCCUAAUGAGAGCGCAGUGAGUCCGAUGACGCUUUUGAUGGAGGACCACCGGAGAUGAAGACAGUUGUUGCGAGGGGUAAGGGCCGGCGAAAGGAAGGUCCGAUGAGGGGUUCUGGCGGCGUUUCAAGGCGGAGAUGAUCAGGUUGAGGCGAUGUGCGACGCAUGUCGAUCCGAGGGCGUAGAUGCUACCACGUGGCAUGCAGCCAGCCUCCUUGAUGCGAGUAUCCCAGCCGACGUCGGUCGGGUUUAUGUGAUUUGGGCUGUGGACCCGUUUAAAGUUUUUAGAGAGUAGCCGGUAAGUUUUUGGGCUUCUGGGCCUUUUGAUGUUGCAAUUGGAACUUCGGUUAUGUAUUAUGGGUUUAGCCCGGAUUAUUAUUAAUUAAAAAAAAAAUCACUUGGCGGAAAAAAAGAAAAACACCAAAAGUUCUAAGAACCUCUACCGAAACUGUGAGACCACCUGUCUCUUUUCCAAUGGUAAAUGUUUAGGUAAAAUAAAUAAAUUAAUUUACAUAACUAACAUGCAUUUAAAUAAUGAUUUUUGAGUGGUAAAAACUCCAAAUGAGCAUCCCCGGCGUUGGUUAUGCUCUAACUGUUAUUCAUUACCCUACUUUAAUAUGUCACAUCAGUUUUUUUGCCGCAUCAUCUUUUUUUUUUCAUAUCUCUUUUUAUCACAUAAUAAUUAAUUCAAUAAAUACUUAAAUUUUAAUCAACUAGAACUUUUGUUUUAAAAAUAUCAUUAUAUCCAUCUAUUUUAAUUCAUCAAAAACUUUUAUUAAAAUAAACAAUUAUCAAAUCUAAGUCAUUUUAAAAUAAUCGAUAAUUUGAACUUUAAUAUUCAAAAAUAAAUAAGAAUUAAGAAUGUAGAAUUUAUUUUUAAAAUCCCAUUUUUAGAGAUAGAAUAAUUUCUUAAAAAAUUAAUUAGAAAUUAACAAAUCAUAUGUACGAAUAAAUAUAACAAACCUCUAUUUAUAAAAUAAAAAAAAAUGAUGAAUUUUUAUAUAAAAUAGUUUAAUGAAUAAAUUAUUUUGUUACAAAAUAAUUGAGAUUAAAUAGUUAGGGUGUAUAAAAAAUGAUUUCAAUUUUAAUAAUAAAUAACAUGAUGAUACGUUACUUUUGUGGACCCUACUUUAUGGUAUUCAACUAGUUGAAAAAAUUCAACUCUAAUUAUUCCACCUAAGUUUUUUUGGUUUUUCAAUAUUUUCAUUACAAGCUUUCAACAGUUGAAUAAUUUAUUCAACUAAAUCAUUGUAAAUGGUCUAAAAUUUCAAAUUAGAUCAAGAGCCAGCUCUAACAUAGAUUAGAGGAAGCUUGUGCUGUAGAUGACAAAUAAGGAUAAAAUAUUGCAAGGACAUCCAAUUAACCAACAUGCAACUUGGUGUGACGUAAAAUCAACAUGUUUUCCACUUUUAGUAAGGUUCUAGCUUGACCCAUCUAUUCUAUUAAUUUAAAGUUAUUUUUUUAUCUAAUUAUAAAUGUUGUCAUUUAAAUUUGGACCUAUUCAUAUCUCACUAAGAAUAGAUAUCAAUACAUUUAAAAUUAGAUAUUUUUAAGUUCCCUUAAUUUACUUUCAAUAUAUUAAAAAUGUGUCACUCCUAUUUUUAUGGUUAACAACAUUAAUUUCAUCCUAAUUACUAUACAUCCGUAAAACAUUCACUAUUUAUUUUCAUUUAAAACUAUGGACAUUUCAUUGCACUUAAUUGUUUCUUAUUUACUCAUUUUAAAAUUUCGAAAGCCUAAUAGAGUUGUUUUAGUUGUGGUGCGUCAGAAAUAUACAACAACAUUGCUUGGAAUUUGACUAUUAAUAUGAAUUUAUGAUUGAUAAAUUAUAGUUAUACAACUAUAUGAUUUUUAUAAUAUAAUUAACCUUAAUAUUUUCAUAGCUAUAGUGAUAUAUAAAUAUAUAGUUGCUAUAUUAUAUGAUUUUAAUUAAACAUAUUUUACUCAGAUGUGGACUAACAUAUUAUAUCAUCAUUUCUAAAAUGGUUAGUUAUACUAUAAAACUAUAUACUAAAUAUAUUGUAAACUAAAUUAAUUUAAAAAAUAUAUUGUAUACAAAAAUAAUAUUUAAUAAAAAAGUAAAAUAUAUAAAUUAGAUCAAUAUAUAUUUAAGAAAUCUAAACAAUAAAGUUACACAAUAUAUAAAACUAAAAUGUAAAUUUAAUAUCAAAAUUAUACAUUUAUAAAAGAAAAAAAUAUUCGCGCAGACGUGCGGGUUCAAACUCUAGUUAUAGUUUUAUAAUAGUGGUCUGAAUAUGGAGUCUAAGAUUAUGAAGAGUGGAAAUAUAUAAUUUUGAUACACUGAAAUUCUCAUAGAGAACAAAAAACAUGAAUAGUAUACUCUUUACAUCAAGAAGAUGCAAAAUAAAUAUGAAUUAUUUUGAUAAAAUUCUAUAACUGUUCUCAUAAGUGGAAUAUGUAAGUUUUGUUGCAUCCUCCACCACAACAAUGAUAAUGAUGCAAUCGUCAACCAAAAACCUUCAAAUAACCAUGCAUCUCAAACCAAAAAUGUGAAUCAUGAAUAUAAAGCACAUAUUAAAAAGGAAAACAUUCCGCAUUUACAGCAGAAAAGGUGUGGUGUCAACACCAUUGCAAAAUUACAGAAACACUUUUGUCUAAACAUCUUAGGACUCUUAUGCAAUGUUUACAAACAAAAAAGCAUAUCUCACAUUAUGCAAUUGAUUUAUAUGUAAAUUUUAUUAUAUAAUUGACAUCAUAUCAAUAAUUUGUAUGAAAUAAGUAAAUUUGAUCAACACGACUAAAGUCCAUACUUGUACUUUGCACUUUAUUUGAUAAUUUUUUCCUUUUCUUUUGCUUGGUUUAUACACAGUAUUUUUUUCUUCAAUUAUUUCUAUUUUUUUUACUGAUUGUUUGAUGUAGCUUUCAUCUAAAAGAAUUUUAUUUACAAAAACUGUAAGUGCUUAUAAGCUAUAUAUACACAUUUAUCAAAACUGUUAUUUAUUUUUGGUUCCAAAUGCUUUCGACUUUGCUUUUCUGUACGUCAAUUUAAAUUUUUGUUUACUUUAGUCUUGGUUCUUUAGAUCAACUAAUUCCUUCUUACUCAUAUAAUUGUAAUUUUCGUUCGGUUUGGUUUUGUUUUUAUUCAAUUUAAUUUCUGGUUUACUUUAGUGUUGGUUCAUUAGAUUCCUUCUUACUCAAAUCAAUUGUUCAUUCGGUUUGGUUCUAAUCGAGUUAUUUUGUUAAUUUUGAGAAUUCAAACUUAUGUCUAAUAGAGCAUUACAAAUUUGUAACACAACUUGUUCACGGUAUCCAAAUAAUUGACAUCACAUUAUGCAAUUGAUUUAUAUGUAAAUUUUAUUAUAUAAUUGACAUCAUAUCGAUAAUUUGUAUGAAAUAAAUAAAUUUGAUCCACACGACUAAAGUCCAUACUUGUACUUUGCACUUUAUUUGAUAAUUUUUUCCUUUUCUUUUGCUUGGUUUAUGCACAGUAUUUUGUUUCUUCCAUUAUUUCUAUUUUUUUUACUGAUUGUUUGAUGUAGCUUUCAUCUAAAAGAAUUUUAUUUACCAAAACUGUAAGUGCUUAUAAGUUAUAUAUACACAUUUAUCAAAACUGUUAUUUAUUUUUGGUUCCAAAUGCCUUCGACUUUGCUUUUCUGUACGUCAAUUUAAAUUUUUGUUUACUUUAGUCUUGGUUUUUUAGAUCAACUAAUUCCUUCUUAGAGCAUCUCCAAAAAGGAACUCUAUUUUGAAGUUUCCAAAACUCUAUAUUUGAAGUUUCAAUGUGUUCUUCUCCAAAAGUAAAACUUUAAACCUAACUUCAAAACUAUUUAUAUUUUACACUAUGGUCCUUAUAUUUGUCAUAGUUAAUGUAAAUUCUUAAAACUUCUAUAAAUAACUAGUAUAUAUAUAUAUAAAUAUUACAGAAAUAUUAAUUAAAAAAUCUUACACUAAUAAACAUUUUAAUAAGUUUUUAUUAUGGUUUUUUGUAAUAUUUUUGUUGUUUAAUCCUAGUUUUAAAAUAUUGUAAAUCUUGUUUUAAAAUUUUUAUUUAAUUUCAUGUGUAAAACUUAAAUUUAUAAAACAAAUUUGAAAUAUAUAUGAGAUAUAAAAGUUAUAAAGAUUAAAACAAUAAACAAAAAUAUAUUUAAGAAUUAUAAAUAUGAUGUAUAAUUGUAAGGACCAAAAUGCAAAUAAAAAGAUGAAACUUUAAAUUUGAAGUUUUGAAAAGUGAAACUCUAUAUUUGGAGUUUCACUCUUCAAAACUUCAAAUUUGAAGUUUUGAAGUUUCUUUUUGGAGAGCAAAAAACUCUAUAUUUAAAGUUAUAGAGUUUCUUUUGGAGAUGCUCUUACUCAUAUAAUUGUAAUUGUCGUUCGGUUUGGUUUUGCUUUUAUUCAAUUUAAUUUCUGGUUUACUUUAGUGUUGGUUCAUUAGAUUCGUUCUUACUCAAAUCAUUUCUUCAUUUGGUUUGGUUCUAAUCAAGUUACUUUGUUAAUUUUGAGAAUUCAAACUUAUGUCUAAUAGAGUAUUACAAAUUUGUAAACAACUUGUUCAGGGUAUCCAAAUAAUCGAAAUUGUAACUUGGGAGACUACUUCUAAAAUCACAUAUAUUUCCAAAGACAUCGAUAUAUACUCAGUUCCAGUUUAUAAGCUGUACGUUAGUUUUUUCUCCGGUUAUAGUAGUGUAGUCAUGCAUACCAUGCAUACCUGCAUGUGUGAUAUGUCUUACUGACGUCAGAAUUCUUUAACUUAGAACAUGCAACCUAGGUGAAUUCUUUUACUUCGUAUUCUUUUACUUAGACUAUAUUAUUAUUUUCUGUAUUAAAAAGUCAUAUUUUUCUUUUAGAUAUUAAUAUUAAUUUCACGAAUAACAGCAACUUAUACAAAAUAUAGAAGUUUCAAGGCAAAGGCAACGCAUGUUCUGGUUAGACUUGUCUUCGGAAAAUAUCAAAACCUAAUACAAGAAUACAAAUUUGGGAACAAGACAAUAGUACUUCUGUGGUACUCAAAUAACUAGAAUAAUAUUCUCUUUAAGAAAAAAUCUUAUCUUCUGUUAACGUGGCGGCUUAUAACAUGUGUUUUUUCACUAAAUUUACACUCAAAUAAUAAAAUAAAAAGAAGUAAGAAGAAAAAUAAAAUAAAAGCCGUUAAAAUAAAUAUCGUUUCUGAUUUUAAUUUCAUCAAUAUAAUUAACACCCCACUCUUCACAGGAACAUUCACCACUCUCACUCAUCAGUGUCAAACAAUGGCAUCAUCUAUCAACGAAAUAUUCUCCAAAGAUAAUUUCAAGAAAAACAAGAAACUUGUUUUACUAUCAGCUGCCGUAGCAUUGCUCCUCGUGGCUGCCGUCACCGGAAUCGCCGCCGGAGCUUCAAAAGCCAACGGAAACAGAAAAGAACCUCUAUCACCGUCCUCUCACGCCGUGCUAAGAUCCGCUUGCAGCUCCACGCUGUACCCUGAGCUCUGCAUCUCCGCCGUGGCCACGUCUGGCGGCGUCAAACUGACGUCGCAGAAAGACGUCAUUGAGGCCUCGCUUAACCUAACAACAACCGCCGUGGAACACAAUUACUUCACCGUGAAGAAACUGAUCAAGAACAUGAAAGGACUGACUCCACGUGAGAAGACGGCGCUUCAUGACUGUUUGGAGACUAUUGAUGAGACCCUUGAUGAGCUUCAUGAGACAUUAGAAGAUCUCCAAAUGUAUCCUAACAAGAA
rnacentral:lncRNA from 1 species